rnacentral:rRNA from 1 species
GGAAUUUUGGACAAUGGGCGAAAGCCUGAUCCAGCAAUGCCGCGUGAGUGAAGAAGGCCUUCGGGUUGUAAAGCUCUUUUGUCAGGGAAGAAACGGUGAGAGCUAAUAUCUCUUGCUAAUGACGGUACCUGAAGAAUAAGCACCGGCUAACUACGUGCCAGCAGCCGCGGUAAUACGUAGGGUGCAAGCGUUAAUCGGAAUUACUGGGCGUAAAGCGUGCGCAGGCGGUUUUGUAAGUCUGAUGUGAAAUCCCCGGGCUCAACCUGGGAAUUGCAUUGGAGACUGCAAGGCUAGAAUCUGGCAGAGGGGGGUAGAAUUCCACGUGUAGCAGUGAAAUGCGUAGAUAUGUGGAGGAACACCGAUGGCGAAGGCAGCCCCCUGGGUCAAGAUUGACGCUCAUGCACGAAAGCGUGGGGAGCAAACAGGAUUAGAUACCCUGG